GGUAAGAUAGAGAAUUUAUUGUCUGUCUUUGCCAUACAGGAUUGCGGUCAUACACUGAAGCUGAAUCCGUGUCAGUGUUCCGGGAACACGUGACAAGGAACCUACACACCCCUUUAAAGUCAGAGACAGAGUCGUGGUGAAGGUGCUCCCCAGGAACAAGAGCCCAGGAGACUUCACCUAUGGUCCAGAGACAGAGGUCGUAGCAGUUACCCGAACAGCAGUCCUGACAGAGGAAAGUCCUACCUGGAUCCAUGCAUCCCGAGUAAAAAAGGUUCCUAGACCAGACCUAGAGAGGGAAGCAAGUGAUUCCAGUGAGGUACGAACCGGGGCAGACAGCCCUGACCUCCCACCUAGCGAAGAAAGAAGAACAGAAGAAGAUGAGGAACCUGUCCCCUAUCUCUAUCCUGGGGACUAUCUCGAUAGCCCUACUGGCCCUCAUUCACCUCACAAUAUGUGAAGUCGACAUCACACAAACAGAUGGGGUCCCCACCUUGUGGUACAAUUCCUCCAAUACACACGUAGCCACAUACAUCCUUGAUUAUUUUAUGUUCCCCAAAAUUGCUGAUGACAAAUAUUAUAUACAACAAAGGAGGAAAUCAGGAAUGUCUGAGACAGUAUAUAUUUGUGUUACUGACGAAUGGUACUAUAGUGCAAGACAAAUGUUUUAUUUGUGGGACAUGUAUAAAAACCCAAAAUACCAGCCUAAAAUUGCUCCCCAAAACAAACCUUUAAAGCCCCAUAUUGCCACUUCUAAAGAUAUGGUGGCUAUUACUAACCCUACCUUUGAAGACACCCUAGCUAUUGAAACUGGUUUCCCUGACAUUAAUUUUUGGUUGGAAUGGAUGAAGUAUAGUGCUAACAAACACAAUAAAAGCAACUGUUAUGUCUGUGGCAAAUCUAGGCCCCACCUAGGUACAGUGCCCCUUAAUAUACCCCUAGAACAGGAAAAUUGUUUUUUCAGCCUUUUUAAUGACACCAAAACAAAUGACAGUCAGUGCGAAAUGUGGAAAAGGGAAUAUCCCAUAUUGUCAAAAAAUCCCAACCCAGGAAGCACCAUAACCAUAUAUCCUGGAAACUAUACCUGUUAUACAUCUAACACCACCACAGGGAGAAAUUUAAAAACCUUCCCACCAGGCUCUUGUGCAAAUAAGCAUAUUCAUACUUGUAACUUUAAUUCUUGUAGGCAUUAUAGUUUAUUGUGUAAUUCCCUGUGGAAAGAAACUUACCUCCAAAGGCAUUGAUAAGGCCCUGAUGUACUAUGAUAUAACCACCAGUCCUGUCACCUCCUCUGAUAGUAAGGGACCCGACGACUAUGUCCAAUAUCUCAAGAACUGGAGGAACAAGAAAGGAGCCUCACUCAAGAAUCAUGUCAUAUAAUAAUCAUGAUUCUAAGAGGGGAUUGAAGGGUUAACUCUUCUGUGCUUUGUAAAUAUUACUUUUUAUAUGAUCAAUUUCCUUAUAAUAGUUACAGUGUAAAAGUGAAUAUUUCUACCUCCCUAAUGAAAGGUUAAAACAUGCUAUAUGAACUGUUAUGUGUUUGCAUAGAUACGUAUUACCCUGUGCUGAAUACCUUUAUCUCCUCAUACAAUACCAGGCUUGUAUGUGUCUGUUUCUCAAGGUCAGUUCUAUACCAGAUGAAACCUGUUACAGACUUUGUUAAAUGUUUUGAGAAACUUGUAGAAAACCCAUAUAUGCAUAUCCUUCCACUGCGGCAGUUCCUAGCCAAUCAUGUUAUGUUAGCCCCUUUUUUGUGUUCUGUCCAAUUAGUUAUUGACUUUGGAUAUACACGCCCUAAAUCCUUUCUUUUAUAUACUUUUGUUAACCUCAUAAUAAACAGUGUGAAUUUUUA